rnacentral:rRNA from 1 species
CUAUGUGUUGUUGGGUAGGGGAGCGUUCUGUAAGCCUGUGAAGGUGUACUGUGAGGUAUGCUGGAGGUAUCAGAAGUGCGAAUGCUGACAUAAGUAACGAUAAAGCGGGUGAAAAGCCCGCUCGCCGGAAGACCAAGGGUUCCUGUCCAACGUUAAUCGGGGCAGGGUGAGUCGACCCCUAAGGCGAGGCCGAAAGGCGUAGUCGAUGGGAAACAGGUUAAUAUUCCUGUACUUGGUGUUACUGCGAAGGGGGGACGGAGAAGGCUAUGUUGGCCGGGCGACGGUUGUCCCGGUUUAAGCGUGUAGGCUGGUUUUCCAGGCAAAUCCGGAAAAUCAAGGCUGAGGCGUGAUGACGAGGCACUACGGUGCUGAAGCAACAAAUGCCCUGCUUCCAGGAAAAGCCUCUAAGCAUCAGGUAACAUCAAAUCGUACCCCAAACCGACACAGGUGGUCAGGUAGAGAAUACCAAGGCGCUUGAGAGAACUCGGGUGAAGGAACUAGGCAAAAUGGUGCCGUAACUUCGGGAGAAGGCACGCUGAUAUGUAGGUGAAGCGACUUGCUCGUGGAGCUGAAAUCAGUCGAAGAUACCAGCUGGCUGCAACUGUUUAUUAAAAACACAGCACUGUGCAAACACGAAAGUGGACGUAUACGGUGUGACGCCUGCCCGGUGCCGGAAGGUUAAUUGAUGGGGUUAGCGGUAACGCGAAGCUCUUGAUCGAAGCCCCGGUAAACGGCGGCCGUAACUAUAACGGUCCUAAGGUAGCGAAAUUCCUUGUCGGGUAAGUUCCGACCUGCACGAAUGGCGUAAUGAUGGCCAGGCUGUCUCCACCCGAGACUCAGUGAAAUUGAACUCGCUGUGAAGAUGCAGUGUACCCGCGGCAAGACGGAAAGACCCCGUGAACCUUUACUAUAGCUUGACACUGAACAUUGAGCCUUGAUGUGUAGGAUAGGUGGGAGGCUUUGAAGUGUGGACGCCAGUCUGCAUGGAGCCGGCCUUGAAAUACCACCCUUUAAUGUUUGAUGUUCUAACGUUGGCCCCUGAUCGGGGUUGCGGACAGUGUCUGGUGGGUAGUUUGACUGGGGCGGUCUCCUCCUAAAGAGUAACGGAGGAGCACGAAGGUUGGCUAAUCCUGGUCGGACAUCAGGAGGUUAGUGCAAUGGCAUAAGCCAGCUUGACUGCGAGCGUGACGGCGCGAGCAGGUGCGAAAGCAGGUCAUAGUGAUCCGGUGGUUCUGAAUGGAAGGGCCAUCGCUCAACGGAUAAAAGGUACUCCGGGGAUAACAGGCUGAUACCGCCCAAGAGUUCAUAUCGACGGCGGUGUUUGGCACCUCGAUGUCGGCUCAUCACAUCCUGGGGCUGAAGUAGGUCCCAAGGGUAUGGCUGUUCGCCAUUUAAAGUGGUACGCGAGCUGGGUUUAGAACGUCGUGAGACAGUUCGGUCCCUAUCUGCCGUGGGCGCUGGAGAACUGAGGGGGGCUGCUCCUAGUACGAGAGGACCGGAGUGGACGCAUCACUGGUGUUCGGGUUGUCAUGCCAAUGGCACUGCCCGGUAGCUAAAUGCGGAAGAGAUAAGUG